rnacentral:pre_miRNA from 1 species
ACACAAACUAUUCUACAAACAUUUUACAAAUUGUUGAUGUGACAUACUCCACAUCAACAUAUUGAUCAACAAAUUGCUUCACUGUAGUCUUUCGGGCCCCACACAAUAUGAUGCGAUGGAAUAUGCCACAUCAGCAGUUUAUAAAAUGUUUGUAGAAUAGUUUGUGU